CCCUUAGAUGUCCUGGGCCGCACGCGCGCUACACUGAUGCAUGCAACGAGUUUAUAACCUUGGCCUGAAAGGUCUGGGUAAUCUUUUGAACGUGCAUCGUGAUAGGGAUAGAUUAUUGCAAUUGUUAAUCUUGAACGAGGAAUUCCUAGUAAACGCGAGUCAUCAGCUCGCAUUGAUUACGUCCCUGCCCUUUGUACACACCGCCCGUCGCACCUACCGAUUGAAUGGUUCGGUGAAGAUCUCGGACUUCGAUAUUUAUUCUUUAUUGAGUUUAUAUUGUGGGAAGUUAUUUAAACCUCAUCAUUUAGAGGAAGGUGAAGUCGUAACA
rnacentral:rRNA from 1 species